rnacentral:rRNA from 1 species
GUGAGACAGUUCGGUCCCUAUCCGUCGCGGGCGCAGGAGAUUUGAAGAGAGCCAUCCUUAGUACGAGAGGACCGGGAUGGACACACCGCUGGUGUACCAGUUGUCAUGCCAAUGGCAUCGCUGGGUAGCUAUGUGUGGAAAGGAUAAACGCUGAAAGCAUCUAAGCGUGAAGCCCCCUUUAAGAUGAGAUCUCCCAUUCCUUUAAGGAAGUAAGACCCCUGAGAGACGAUCAGGUAGAUAGGCUGGAAGUGUAAGUAUGGUGACAUAUUGAGCGGACCAGUACUAAUCGGUCGAGGACUUAA